CUCAACAAAGCUCAGACGCGUUCACCGGCAUGCGCAACAUCCGGCAGUUUCUACAAAUCCUCCAUAUUGGAUAAUGUGAUAACAGAUUACCCUGAUGCCGAGUGAUGCAAUAGAAAAAGAUCGACCUGGCAAAGUGUUUGUUGGAGGAUUACCUACAGAUGUUGAUGAAAAAGCACUGGAAGAAAAAUUCUCUAAAUUCGGCCGGUUGACGGAAACAAUUUUGAUACGAGACAAAGGAAAUAAUAAAUCAAGGGGAUUUGGUUUUGUCACAUUUGAGAACCCAUUGGAUGGUGAAGACGCAGUGAAGACUUUGAACGGACAGGAACUAAAGGGCAAGACUAUUCACGUAGAACAAGCGACCAAGCCUCAUCGAGCUAGGGCAAGUCGCAGCUCGUCUGUCCGAAGUAAAGCACGCAGCAGGUCUCCAGUUAGACGCCGCUCCAGCUCUGACAGAGACCGAAGGAUGAGGGCACCCAGACCAGGAGGCCCCACAAGGGGUGGCAGCUCUAUGGGGCCCCGUAGAGGAAGUGGUGUUGAAAGGCGGGGUGGAGGAGGAAGUUAUAGAGGAAGUCGUGGGGCUCCCAGGGGUCGUGGAGGAUACGGGGGUGGUGGUGGAAGUUCGUACAGUUCCUAUGGCAGAGAUUCGUUCGAGGAUAGGAAACCAAUGGGCAUUAAGAGUGGACCAGAUAGAUCAGAACGAUCCAUGUUUGGAUCAGGUGCCAGAAGGGGACCUCCCCAAUCACAUGACACUCCACCAAGACGAGGAGAAGGGGAUAGAUAUGCUGGGAAUAGUUUUGACCGAAUGGACAGAAUGGACCGGAUGGACAGAAUGGAGAGACCAGAAAGAAUGGAUAGAGGAGCACCUCCUCGGAGGGAUUCGUAUCCGUCCCCCACACGUGAUUACGGUCGGGGUCCUCUUCCCGCAGACAGUCGCAUGCCCCCAAGUCGUGGGUCAGCUAGAGAUUAUCCACAAACCUCACGAGACUACCCUCCUCCUGCUAGGGAAUACUCACCACCUGCCCCAUCCAGAGACUAUCCCUCUAGGGAUAGCUACAGCAGCUACGACCGAGCUCCUGGGCCCCGGGACAGAGCUCCUCCAGCGGCACGUGACAGAGCCCCUGCCAGCACAAGCUAUGAAUAUUCAAGAGAUUAUGGAAUGACAAGCCGGGAUUCCUACACUAGUGCUGCCCCCAGUAGAAGCAGCUUUGGAGCUCCGAGCAGGGACCCUAUACUGUCACCUAGAGAUGAAUACAGUGGUGGUCGUGACUCAUUCCGAUCAGAACCAGCCAGCAGAGAGUACGGACUAUCAACUAGUUCCUAUUCAAGAGACUUCAGUACGAAUAGAACGGUAUCUUCCAGAAGUGAAUACGAUAGAGGUCCUCCACCAUCCAGAGAAUACGAUUCUUACAGAGAAAAUGGACGUCAGAGUGGUCCACCUUCACGACCAAGUGGGCCUCCUAGCCGUGGAUUUGGUAGCACAGGUGGUGGUGGUGGUUGAUGAUUCAUCAGUUUGUGUGACAUUGGAUAGAAGCUGGACACAUCAACCAGGUUUAGACUCAGACCAUUUGGAAAGUUACUCUCCAGCAAGGAGGUAACCUGGAAAAAGAUGGGACACAUGGAUGAGGUGACCUAUCAAUACAACCUACCAGUGAACACAUUCUACAAGCAUCACCGGAAUUGGCAGUGAAAAACAGACCAGCAUCGUUCAGAGAUUCAGGAUCAGUCAACUUGACAAGGAUGCUGCGAACUUGACCAUAACAGAUACUUGCAAAUGUGUGCUGUAAGGAGAUGAUGGCUAUGUAUAACACCGAACUUACUGUUACUUGUGGAUGAAUGAUAUUCUGUGAUCUUGAUUGAACAUUUGAUGGAAGUCUUUACUGUCAACACCAGACAAUGUUUGGUUUGUGAUGUAAAACACCUUGUAACCAACUGUGAGACAACAUGUGAUGAUAAACAUUUACUGUCAACAUCGGGACUAAAUGCUGUCUGAUUGUAAAAUCUGUACCCUCAACAGUGAACAAUGUAUGGUUUGUGAUGGUGCAUAAAAAUUGAAGUACUCAAAAUAAACUUCUCACAUGGAAAGAAUGAUUUGGUGUCAUUUGUUGAAAUUCGAACAGCCAAUGUCAUUUACAGACGUUAAAGAAUGAACAUCU
rnacentral:misc_RNA from 1 species